CGGUAAUACGGAGGAUGCGAGCGUUAUCCGGAUUCAUUGGGUUUAAAGGGUGCGCAGGCGGAUAUAUAAGUCGGAGGUGAAAUUCUGAUGCUCAACAUCAGCCGUGCCUUCGAUACUGUAUAUCUAGAGUCAAGUUGGAGUAGGCGGAAUGUGUUGUGUAGCGGUGAAAUGCUUAGAUAUAACACAGAACACCGAUCGCGAAGGCAGCUUACUAAACUUUGACUGACGCUCAUGCACGAAAGCGUGGGGAUCAAACAGGAUUAGAUACCCUGGUAGUCCACGCUGUAAACGAUGAUUACUCGAUGUGUGCGAUACACAGUAAGCGACUGAGCGAAAGCGUUAAGUAAUCCACCUGGGGAGUACGACGGCAACGUUGAAACUCAAAGGAAUUGACGGGGGCCCGCACAAGCGGAGGAGCAUGUGGUUUAAUUCGAUGAUACGCGAGGAACCUUACCAGGGCUAGAACGCAAGUUGAUUAUGUGCGAAAGUAUAUAUCUCUUCGGAGCAAUUUGCGAGGUGCUGCAUGGUUGUCGUCAGCUCGUGCCGUGAGGUGUCAGGUUAAGUCCUAUAACGAGCGCAACCCCUACUCUUAGUUGCCAGCAUGUCAUGAUGGGGACUCUAAGAGAACUGCCUACGCAAGUAGAGAGGAAGGUGGGGAUGACGUCAAAUCAGCACGGCCCUUAUGUCCUGGGCUACACACGUGCUACAAUGGUCGGUACAGAGGGCAGCUACCUGGCGACAGGAUGCUAAUCUCAAAAGCCGAUCUCAGUUCGGAUCGGAGUCUGCAACUCGACUCCGUGAAGUUGGAUUCGCUAGUAAUCGCGCAUCAGCCAUGGCGCGGUGAAUACGUUCCCGGGCCUUGUACACACCGCCCGUCAAGCCAUGGAAGCUGGGGGUACCUGAAGUCCGUAACCGUAAGGAGCGGCCUAGGGUAAAACUAGUGACUGGGGCUAAGUCGUAACAAGGUAGCCGUACCGGAAGGUGUGGCUG
rnacentral:rRNA from 1 species